GACGAACGCUGGCGGCGCGCUUAACACAUGCAAGUCGAACGAUGAAGCUGGAGCUUGCUCCGGUGGAUUAGUGGCGAACGGGUGAGUAACACGUGAGCAAUCUGCCCUUGACUCUGGGAUAACUGCAGGAAACUGUAGCUAAUACCGGAUAUGAGGCUCGAAGGCAUCUUCGGGUCUGGAAAGAAUUUCGGUCAAGGAUGAGCUCGCGGCCUAUCAGCUUGUUGGUGAGGUAAUGGCUCACCAAGGCGACGACGGGUAGCCGGCCUGAGAGGGUGACCGGCCACACUGGGGCUGAGACACGGCCCAGACUCCUACGGGAGGCAGCAGUGGGGAAUAUUGCACAAUGGGCGAAAGCCUGAUGCAGCAACGCCGCGUGAGGGAUGAGGGCCUUCGGGUUGUAAACCUCUUUUAGCAGGGAAGAAGCGAAAGUGACGGUACCUGCAGAAAAAGCACCGGCUAACUACGUGCCAGCCGCCGCCGUAA
rnacentral:rRNA from 1 species